rnacentral:rRNA from 1 species
GGUGGAUGCCUUGGCAGUUAGAGGCGAUGAAGGACGUGUUAAUCUGCGAUAAGCGUUGGUAAGGUGAUAAAAACCGUCAUAGCCAACGAUUUCCGAAUGGGGAAACCCACUUAGCAUAAGCUAGGUAUCAUUAACUGAAUACAUAGGUUAAUGAGGCAAACCGGGAGAACUGAAACAUCUAAGUACCCCGAGGAAAAGAAAUCAACCGAGAUUUCGUUAGUAGCGGCGAGCGAACGCGAAUCAGCCCUUAAGCUUAUUGGGCGCUAGUGGAAUGUUCUGGAAAGGACAACGAUACAGGGUGAUAGUCCCGUACACUAAAGCAACCUUUAAGUGAAAUCGAGUAGGACGGAGCACGUGAAACUUUGUCUGAAUAUGGGGGGACCAUCCUCCAAGGCUAAAUACUACCAAUUGACCGAUAGUGAACCAGUACCGUGAGGGAAAGGCGAAAAGAACCCCGUAGAGGGGAGUGAAAUAGAUCCUGAAACCGUAUACGUACAAGCAGUAGGAGCAGACUUGUUCUGUGACUGCGUACCUUUUGUAUAAUGGGUCAGCGACUUAAUGUCAGUAGCAAGGUUAACCGUAUAGGGGAGCCGAAGGGAAACCGAGUCUUAACCGGGCGUUAAGUUGCAGGGUAUAGACCCGAAACCCGGCGAUCUACCCAUGGGCAGGUUGAAGGUUGAGUAACAUCAACUGGAGGACCGAACCCACUAACUUUGAAAAGUUAGGGGAUGACCUGUGGCUGGGGGUGAAAGGCCAAUCAAACCGGGAGAUAGCUGGUUCUCCCCGAAAUCUAUUUAGGUAGAGCCUCGCACGAACACCAUUGGGGGUAGAGCACUGUUAAGGCUAGGGGGUCAUCCCGACUUACCAACCCUUUGCAAACUCCGAAUACCAGUGAGUGAUAUCCGGGAGACACACUGUGGGUGCUAACGUCCAUUGUGAAGAGGGAAACAACCCAGACCGCCAGCUAAGGUCCCAAAAUAUUGCUAAGUGGGAAACGAUGUGGGAAGGCAUAGACAGCUAGGAGGUUGGCUUAGAAGCAGCCAUCCUUUAAAGAAAGCGUAAUAGCUCACUAGUCGAGUCGGCCUGCGCGGAAGAUGUAACGGGGCUAAACUAGUCACCGAAGCUGCGGAUUUGAACUUAGGUUCAAGUGGUAGGGGAGCGUUCUGUAAGCCGUUGAAGGUGAAUUGAGAAGUUUGCUGGAGGUAUCAGAAGUGCGAAUGCUGACAUGAGUAACGAUAA